rnacentral:rRNA from 1 species
GUCAAAAAGAGUAGUGGAUCCUUAGGUGGCAGAGGAGGAUAGAGUGGAGUCAAACCAUCGUGGUGAUCUUUGAUGAUUCUCGCAAAUCUAGUCAUUUCAUCACUAGAUUUACCAGGAUAUAAUCAAAUACCUCUCUCUUCAUAGCUAACGAUAAAGUCGAGCCGCAGAGGCCGUUAGAACUACGUAAGGUAGGCUAAGAUGCGACUAGUCGCACCGGUUCUUGUGUGUGUGUCUAAGCACACUUGUAACUACGCACGUUAGCUAGACUAACGACUUCUACUUCUGGUCGUCGUUAGAGCUCCCUAAGGAGGUCCGUCGGUGCGGGAACGAGGGUACCGCGAGGCGGUGGUACCUUGCGAAGGUCGUCGCAGACCGUUGUCGGUCUGCCGUUCUUGUUCCUGCGCCGCCUCAUGAAACGGGAGAGGCUGGAGCGCCACCUCAUGAUGCGGCUCUCGUCGCGGAUGCCGGAGCGACACGGACAGGCCCUGCGGCCACUGGCGCGGUCGGUCCAUGCCAACGUCCCUUCCACGACGUUUAGCUCCCCCGAUGUGGCCACCGUUACCUAUCGGAACCCCGACCAUGUGGCCCGUUCCGUGGUUAACACUUCUCUUCCUCUGUUCCCCUUCCUCUUCCUCUACGACUGCAACGACUACAAUGCUCGCUCCGCCGGUUUUAGUCACUCUUGAAACAAACCGUUUACAGCGCCCCAACCGCUAGGGUGUUGCUCAUACGUACGAGGCCCUCGAGUAGGCCCUUACACACGGCAGCCAUCAAACAUAGCACCUUUGUGUUCAUAUAGAUCUGUUUCUCACCUUCCGGACUGUUAUGACAAUCCAAAGUUACCACCUAAACGUCAUCGAUCAUCGCCCUCUUCACCACCUGAUCGUCAAAAGCCCUCCCUGUUACAUUUAAACGCUCAAUUUUUGAAAAGGUGCAUAGUAUAGUCCCACACCGAUCCAGAGUCAGCCGACUCUAAAUUGGUUUAGAAUCAGUUUACU